rnacentral:rRNA from 1 species
GCAAGUUGAGCGCUGAAGGUUGGUACUUGUACCGACUGGAUGAGCAGCGAACGGGUGAGUAACGCGUGGGGAAUCUGCCUUUGAGCGGGGGACAACAUUUGGAAACGAAUGCUAAUACCGCAUAAAAACUUUAAACACAAGUUUUAAGUUUGAAAGAUGCAAUUGCAUCACUCAAAGAUGAUCCCGCGUUGUAUUAGCUAGUUGGUGAGGUAAAGGCUCACCAAGGCGAUGAUACAUAGCCGACCUGAGAGGGUGAUCGGCCACAUUGGGACUGAGACACGGCCCAAACUCCUACGGGAGGCAGCAGUAGGGAAUCUUCGGCAAUGGACGAAAGUCUGACCGAGCAACGCCGCGUGAGUGAAGAAGGUUUUCGGAUCGUAAAACUCUGUUGGUAGAGAAGAACGUUGGUGAGAGUGGAAAGCUCAUCAAGUGACGGUAACUACCCAGAAAGGGACGGCUAACUACGUGCCAGCAGCCGCGGUAAUACGUAGGUCCCGAGCGUUGUCCGGAUUUAUUGGGCGUAAAGCGAGCGCAGGUGGUUUAUUAAGUCUGGUGUAAAAGGCAGUGGCUCAACCAUUGUAUGCAUUGGAAACUGGUAGACUUGAGUGCAGGAGAGGAGAGUGGAAUUCCAUGUGUAGCGGUGAAAUGCGUAGAUAUAUGGAGGAACACCGGUGGCGAAAGCGGCUCUCUGGCCUGUAACUG